AACAGUGAACAACGAAAAGAAUUCAUUCAACUUGACAAUGGAUACAGGGUUUCAACCCACUAUUGCACCAAAGCUGCUGGUCAAGGUCACCAAUGACCUCCACUGUACUAAAUCCAAUUUCCACAUUUCAGUCCUUACCACCCUUGAUCCAUCACCAGUAUCCAACAAAGAAUCAUAUCCGGAAAACAGAGAUUUUUGUCUUGUUCACCAUAAUAUCUCUGGGUGCUUGGAACAAUGCCUAGCAAAUGGCAGGUACUCAAAUAUUUGUUCAAAGGGAAGGAAGGAAGCAGGAAGAGAGAGGGAAUGAGGGUAACAGGCUGGAACUAUGAUCCUAACUUUUCCUUACAAAAGAUUAAAACCAAAGUAAUUCCAGACUGAAGCUAACCCCUUUUCUCAUCUGGUGCCAACAGACCUCAUAAAACUAACUCUGGCCUCCUCAUAAAACUAACUCUGGCCUCUAAUGCUGAAAGCGAGUCAAGCAAUUAUAGUCCACACUCUUAGUCCAAGUAUACACAAACCAGGG
rnacentral:lncRNA from 10 species